rnacentral:lncRNA from 1 species
AAAAAAAAAACAAUGGUACUGCCAGGACCAUACAUCUGGUCGACCAUACGUGGUAAUGAAAAUACAAAGUAUACUCUAUUUCUCAGCAUUAACAAAUUUAUGGACGUCAUGUCUACCAGGUCGUCUCUAUCGUGAAGAUUAUGACUGCAUUUACCAGUUACCAUAACCACCUUUACCAUUCCAGGCAGUGAUUCCCAGAACAGAGUUCUGAUGGAAGCUGUGUGGAUGAAUCCUCAUAGAAGCUGAAACAAUUUUCGGUCAGAAACGCGGCACCAACGUGCUUGGUGCAGCUAAUGAGCAAACCAUAGGAAGUAGAGGUGAGUAGAUAAUUUCAAUCAGCAAAGUAGCCGAUGGAAGAGAUUUCUAAGUAGGGUAGUACCAUGAAAUUCUCGUCCAAUCCACAGAAGCGCAAACACACUCCAUUCAGAUUAUGUUCUUCAUUUUUCUGCUGUUCCUCUUGCAUGCCUUAACGGUUAGGAUUGAACAUCACCCUCUAGCCAAUCAAACAUCAUUGUCAUUGGACUGAAUCAAUGAUAUUGAGGAAGUCGGUCAGAUCCUUCUUCUCAACUAAAUUAUUGACAUUUACUAGUGAUAAUAUAAUAUGUGGGGGAAGGGCCGCACCCCAAGGGUGUGAUGUAGACAACAUAUCCUAAUACAAAACAUUAGUGGUUGCUUCCACGGCUCGAACGCGUGACCUAUAGGUCAAACAGAAACAACUUUACCGCUGCUCCAAAGAUCCCCUCAAGUGAUAAUAUAAUAUACAACAACAUACCCAGAUCCCAGUGUAAUCCCAUAAAGUGGGGGAGUACUGAUAAUAUAAUACAGUAAACAUAAUUAGAAAAUACUGAUGAUUCCUAAACAAGAAAUACUUCAUUUUUUGGUAAAAUCAUUGCGUCGCUUGUCAGAUAUUAGUUUGGUUUGGAAACCAAACCAAAUUGUUCUCUUUUAUAACGCAGUGUCACAAUCAACUCGUGCCCUUUCAUGAAGUAUUUGUUGCCUUCUAUCAAAAGGUAAUGAGUUCAAGAUUUGUGUAUUGUUGGUGUACAAAAUAUUUAAUAUUAUCAAGUAAAUUUGAUCUGCCAUUGCAGAUUAUUGAGUUUUUUACAUAAAAAUUGAAAAAGAAAAAAUUAGUUAAUCAUAUAAAAUUUAUCUGAUAGUAUAGAGUAGUUUAUACAGAGAUAAAGCACAAAACUUAAAUUUAAAGAUAAUUCUGUGCCCCUUGAACAUUUGCAUAAGUACAAUGUUUUAGUGCAAAUUUGCCUUGCCAUAAAGCCUAACGUACUCGCAGAGAUUUGGGCAAAUUCUAGCAAUGAAAAAUCUUUAUCAUGUCAUAAACUUGACGAAUCCUCACAAUUUAAUCACAAAAUUGAUUUAUUAUAUUUUUUAAUAUUUUUUUUUUUGCUUUAAAAGUGUCAUGAAUGAAUUUCAAAUGACUUCAAAUUUGCUAAAGAAAAUUCUAAUAGUAACCUCAAUAAUUCAUGUUUGCUGAGGAUUUUAGGGAAAUAAUCUCUCAAUCUUUUCGAGGCAGUGAUAAAAUAUAUGUAUAUUUUAUCCUUCUAGACCUCACUUAUAGAAUUUCACUUAGUAUAUUAUUGUUGUAGUAGCCUCGAUAAAAGUUAAAUUUUUGACUCCUUUCAAUCGAGGGUCCUUCGAAAAUAAUUUCUCUAUCUUUACAAGUUAAGACUAAAUUUUAAUUGUAAAAUUUCAUUGACUAUGUUAUUGUUGUUCCAUAAUAGACUUGCAAUCUUUUAUAUAGGAGGUGGCCACUGGCCAUUAGGGGGCUACAAAAGACAGGUAUACAGAAAUAACCCUUUGGUUACACAAAACAUGCAUUCAGUAAUUCUUAUUUGAGCAUUAGAACAUUUCGUUGUACUAAAUAUAAGUUGUUUAUUGGUUAGAAAAAAAGAGUAACAAUAUGCUCCUUAUUUUAGUUAUUUCAUUUAUCUAAUCAUUUAGGUAAUUCAAGUAUGUAUUUUUGAUGGUAUUCUAUAAGGGAGGUCCGGGAUUAAUUUUCUCCAUCUGACUUCUUCUCAGUCUAACUCACCGCACUAGACAACACUUCUUUAAAAAUAGUGUAUAAAUUUGAAUUAAUCAAACUAGUAAAUUAAAUAUCAAAUGGUUAUACUAAAUUCUAAUAAAUGAAGAGAAAGGAAAUUUCCCUUUGGGCUCCACUUCUCUAAAUGGGAACUAGGAUAUUAUUUCUUUCUUUCACUUUUCCAUAAAACCAAACAAAGAAACUGUAAUAUCUUUCUGCCUUUACACUUUCUUGAUUUUGACCUCCCUGUCCUUUUCGUUCCUUUUCUGUUCUUCAUUUCACUGCUUUCUGAAGAAAUCCAAACAAACUAAGGUUGGUCUUUAAUUUUUGUCCUUCAAAAUCAAGCUUAUAUCUAGCAGGAUAUAACUUGUGAAAUAUUAUGGUUCUCUGGAGGAAGGUAGUAGGUACUAAGGUACCCUGCGGAGUUGAUCUCCAUGCACACAAACUGGCCCGAUCAGUACGAUAAUUGAAAAAGGCAGUUGUUCUAGUUAAUUUUAUCUGCGCUUUGUAUGUUGAACUAGUCUAAUAUUUGAAGUAGUAGAAAAAACCAAUGACUGCCAGGACCAUACAUCUGGUUGACCAUACGUGAUAUUGAAAAUACAAAGUAUAUUUCUCAGCAUUAGUCAAUGUAGUCAGCCAUAUAUAGUGCUUGCCAGAACUGUAAGAAAUUGUAAACAAAUUUAUGGACGUCAUGUCUACCAGGUCGUCUCUAUCGUGAAGAUUAUGACUGCAUUUACCAGUUACCAUAACCACCUUUACCAUUCCAGGCAGUGAUUCCCAGAACAGAGUUCUGAUGGAAGCUGUGUGGAUGAAUCCUCAUAGAAGCUGAAACAAUUUUAGGGCAGAAACGUGAAAGCUGCACCCGGCAGAACGUGCUUGGUGCAGCUAAUGAGCAAACCAUAGGAAGUAGAGGUGUAACACCCCGUAGUAUUCUCGACUUGAUACCACACUUAGUAGCAUGCUUAAAGAGCUAACAACCUGAAACUUUUCCAAGUGUUUAAAAGGACUUAGUCAUAUUUUAAGUUCCUGAAUUUCAAUGAUCCUUAAAUCGAUCUUUCCGACCUCGAGACGUAGAUUUUAAAGUUAAUUCAUGUUCAAGGAUGUAAGGGGCAUGUCUUGGGGAAGUUUCAGAAUUUUCGAACGAGUGUAAGGGCAUGUUUGGAUCACCAAAACAGUAGCACGCCGCAAUAUGCCUGCGUCACCUGCUCCAUUUCGGUGCUACGGAACACACGUCGCGCGCUCCAUUCCGGCGCUCCGUAGCCCGCUGAAUAGCGUGCUCUCAUAUUUUUCAGUUCCUGUUUCCGCGUAUUUGAGGGCAAUCAGGUCAUUUACCUUACCCAAAACUGUCCAAAACACAAGAUUGAAGCCCCCAAAGAGCAUUUGUUACAUCAUCAUUCACUUUUCCUCUCCAAGAAAACCCUAAACCCCCCAAAGAUCAAGAAUCAAGCUCUUACGUCAAGAUUUCCAACAAACAAAUCAAGAUUCGGGUUCUAUCCUUCGAACUAAGUAAUCUAAGAUACGUGGGGCCAUCCUAAACUCCUUGGGCAUAAGUUUUAUGAUUUUUAUUAAGUUCAAAGAUAUAUAAUCAUGUUUACAAAGAGGGUUUUGACAUGGUUUUGAAUAGCAUAUAUUAUGAACUUGUUUUGAUGAAAGUAAACGUUUGUCUUGAACCCCUUUUAUAGAAUUGAAUUAUAACCACGUAUACAUACGCGUUUUCAGUUUUGCAAAGUUCAAUUGAGAGCAUAAAUGACGCAACCCCUCUCUUGUUUCGAUACCUCUUGAUUUCACAUGUUGUUGGUUGUUCAAUUGUAUAUUUUGAACAACAACAAACCCAGUGUAUUCCCACAUAGUGAGGUCUGGGGAGGGUAAGAUGUACGCAGUCCAUACCUCUACCUCUAAAGAAGUAGAAAGGUUGUUUCCGAUAGACCCCCGGCUCGAGGCACGGAAUACUAAACAAAUUCAUAGUAAACCAUAACAUAAAUACGACACCCACAAGUAAUAGUAAACAGAGAAAAGUAAACAGAUUCGUAAUAAAGCAUGAAACAAGGUAUCAUAACAAGAAUAAUACCCGCACCAAGUAAUUCCCUACCCUACACCCAAACUGACCUUAGCCUUCUGUCCUAAUUCGCGUCCUCCAGAUCUUCCUAUCUAGGGUCAUGUCCUCAAUGAGUUGUAACUGCUCCAUGUCCCGCCUAAUCACCUCUCCCCAGUACUUCUUCGGCCUACCCCUACCCGCCUAAAACCAUCCAAAGCUAGCCUCUCACACCUACGAACCAGGGCAUCCAUGCCCCUCCUCAUAACGUGUCUGAACCAUCUCAAUCGGACUUCCCGCAUCUUAAUCUAACUCUAUCCCCCCUAGUCAGCUCACACAUCCAACGCAACAUCCGCAUUUCCGCCACCUUCAUUUUUUGAAUGUGAGAGUUCUUAACUGGCCAACACUCCGCUCCAUACAACAUGGCCGGACGGAUUGCCACCCUGUAAAAUUUGCCUUUAAGCUUGGGCGGCACCUUCUUAUCACACUAUACCCCCGAAGCGAGCUUCCACUUCAUCUAUCCCACCCCAAUACGGUGCGAGACAUCCUCUUCAAUAUCACCGUUACCCUGAAUCACGGACCCGAGAUACUUGAAACUAUCCCUCUUACAUACCACCUGUGAUUCCAACUUCACUACCACCUCAUUCUCCAGCCUCACGUCAUUAAACUUGCAUUCCAAAUACUCUGUCUUACUCCUACUCAACCUGAACCCUUUAGACUCAAGAGUUUGUCUCCACACCUCUAAUUU